CGCGUAGGUGGUAGUACAAGUCUGAUGUGGAAUCUUGGGGCUUAACCCCAAAAUUGCAUUGGAAACUGUAUUACUUGAGUCAGUGAGGGGAGGGUAGAAUUCCUGGUGUAGCGGUGAAAUGCGUAGAUAUCAGGAGGAAGGCCUGUGGCGAAGGCGGCCCUCUGGCGCUGAACUGACACUGAGGCGCGAAAGCGUGGGUAGCAAACAGGAUUAGAUACCCUGGUAGUCCACGCCCUAAACGGUGGAUACUAGGUGUAGGGCUCGUAAGGGUUCUGUGCCGAAGCGAAAGCAUUAAGUAUCCCGCCUGGGGAGUACGGCCGCAAGGUUGAA
rnacentral:rRNA from 1 species